GCUGGAGCGACCCUUCGAGUAAAGGGGAAGUGACUGCCUGCAUGUCCUCACCUGAGCAAGAUUCCCAUCAGCAGCUGGUGACUUUGCAAUUCAUUAUGUAUCAUAAGCACAACAAAAGACAAUCCAGUACAGUCRCACUUGAAGUGGAACCAUUAUUUAUGGAUGAAGAGAGUGCCUAGUGUCGGAUUGUAUAUGCCUCCUGUUUUCACUGAUAUUUAUUUUUGGAUUACUUCAACAAACAAUAAGUUUGAACAACACUGCUGUUUUUUAAAAAAGAUGGUGGAUUACUUSACAGUGAUUCAUUAAUAAUUGUGUGUGGCACAGAGUGCUGUGGCACUGCAAGCUCACCCCGGCAGGUCUGCGUUUCUGGAACACGUACAGUCCYGUAGAAAUACCAUGCUUGUUUUCAACCAGACAGGUGAAAAUACUGCUUGGUAAUGUAGGGGUCUGUGUUCUUGGUUUAGACAGUGCUACAAUAGUUAAGUGAAAARGAUUUUCUAAAUAGCAUUGUGAAAAGCUGAGGAUUUAUGAAGCA
rnacentral:lncRNA from 1 species